rnacentral:misc_RNA from 1 species
GUACUCUCACACUCUACAAUUCUUUGGAUUGGGAGCGGUGGACUUGGGUGUUGCCGCUUUACUGUGGCUCACCUCAAAUGUGUUAGUGCAACUCUUGGUUGGACAUAGUACGGCGUGAUAAGUAUCUUCGCCGGCGCCUCGCAAGAGGGUGGCCAAUCGGUAGCUCUGUGCUUCCAACCGUCUUCGGACAAUCUCUGACA